CUCUAAGAAUUCUAGAUUUAUCAUUGUUCGUCACUCAACGGAUGCACGGAAGGAGAACACAAUUCUUAUAUGGUCUGAUUUUUUUUUGAACAGCAUUAUAUGUUCUGAAUUUUCCUGAGGUUUUUCUCAAUAUGGUUUCUAUUUUUGUAAUAACUAAAUUUAACUAAAAGUAAAGAGACAGGUGUACAGGAUGUUUACCUUUUUCAUUCCUUCGCGGCAAAAAAAGUGAAAACAGUGUAUGGAAAGUAAGUGCCCAUAAACUAUAAACAGACUUAAUGUACCAGAGGCUCUGGGCCCAAUGGAAAUUAACACAUGCUUACUUCGACAACUGGAAAUUUCUUUGCCCCUUUCAACAUCCAGCCAAGAAAGGAGAAAUUAUCACUUAAUGAAUUUUAUUGGAUUGCCUUUUUUUUUUCUUUUUUUUUUGUCUCCCCUUCUGUUUUGUCUCCCAUAAUUUUGAAUAUACCUUUUCAAAAGAGGAUUCCGAACUACUUCAGUCUACCUCCUGUCAAACUUCUUCAGUCGUUAUAUGGUGAAUGGGAUAAAUCCUUUCCAAUAUCACACCCCUUCUGGCCUUGACAUUGUUUUGCUUUUACAUCCAUCCUCAGAAUUUUAGUGGAUAUUCCCAGUAGAUCUGAAGUUUCAGAUCACCUAUUCCAUGAAGUUGUGUUAUGGAGUUUACUUCUUACCAGUUGCUCUGCUGCCUUAUUUGCUUGUUAUCAUCUUCGAAUUUUAGCUUCACUGUUGGUACAAAGGGGACAAUUGCAAUAUCAAGGUUUUUUGCCCUUGUGUGCUUUGCCCGUAGAAUAUUGACUUCAGAUCUUCUUCAGAAAUGGCGGAAAUGCACUGUAAGAACCUUCAACUUUCAAAGGACUUGGAUGUGCAAGAGAGUAUGCAUGGUGAAGAACUUCUGCCUAUGGUGGCUAACAUUUUGGUUCAGUUGUUCUAGCGAACUAAGGACCUUGGCUAUUUGGUGGAGUUAGUUAUGGUUAUGGAGUUCGGGUUAACUAUACGAAGAAAGGCAUUUGGAGGUUGAGCCACAAUCGCCGACACCGACGCCGACCACAUACUGCAGCAGAUCCUCCGAAAACGACACCACAUCUCCAAGUUCACCGACGCAUUCUCACUCUCGAGGAUUACCACCAGUGCUCAACCUCCAAUCGGCUCUCAGAUCUGUUUUCUGAAACAAAAGUACAAAACCCUAACCUAAAGGCAUUAAUUGAGAGGCCAGCAACCAUGACCAUCUUUACAUAAUUUCUGCUUUAGGGAUAAAAGUGUUGAACCGGCUGUUUGACUCCUUAAAAGAGUAAUGCAAAAUUGAUUCUUGCUUAGAAGUUUAAUCUGCUUGGGUAAAGUCAGUGUUAUUGUGCAGGGAGUUGGUGUUGGACUAAAGACGAAAACAAUUUUGGGUUAAAGCAAAGUUGUAAUUUCCCUGGUUCGGUGAGUUGAAGAUGAGAGCCUCGUUGGAGCUAUUUAUAUGGUAAUCUUUCUGCCAUCAAAUAAAGUUGUGGUCAUCCAAGAACAAGUUAUAAUAGGUAUCAUUUGGUGACUGUGGGGAGCCCUAAUAGCGUGCGGGUUACUGGACCUAUUUGGAGCCCAAGCAAGAUUUUUCGCAACCUUUCGAGUUGCAUUGUGAUGCAUCUAAGGUUGGAAUUGGGGCUGUCCUUAACCAAAGUUCCAAGCCCCGUGGCUUAUUUUAGUGAGAAGCUGAAUGGGGGAAAGUUAAAUAUGAUGUGGAGUUCUAUGCUUUGGUUCAAGCGUUGAAGCACUGGUAUCAUUAUCUCAUUCGUAGCGACUUCAUAUUAUAUUCUAAUCACGAGACAUUGAAGCAUCUCAAUUUGCAAGAUAAGCUUUCCAGUAGGCAUGCUAAAUGGGCCACAUAAGCGCAACAGUUCUCUUUCACUAUCAAGCACAAGUCUGGUGCUUUUAAUAGAGUAGUUGAUGCCCUCAAUCGCUGCGCCAACUUUCUCACAGUUAUGUGGAGUAAGAUAAUGGGUUUUGAUACUUUUCGUGAGUUAUUAUUGGUUGAGUCGUAUUUCUCUACGGUGCUCAAGAAGAUUGCAGGUGACGAUCAAUCUGAAUUCCGUGAGCAAUGGGGAGUUUGUUUAAAGGGAAUGCAUUGUGCGUUCCGGAUUCCAGUCUUCAUUUGAAGAUUAUUAAGGGGCUACAUGAUGAAGGGCAUGUGGGUCGUGACAAGACUUAUGCGUUGGUGUCAGCUUCUUAUUUUUGGCCAACUUUACGGAAAGAUGUGUACAAGUUUGUGGGAAGCUGUCAUACACGCCAAGUUUCCAAAGGUACAGUGACAAAUGCGGGGUUAUAACUGUAACUGCCCAUUCCAUCUCAGCCAUGGGCCGAUGUCAGUAUGGACUUCGUGUUGGGAUUGCCGCGUAGCCAGCAUGGCAACGAUUCUGUUUUUGUGGUGGUGAAUCGGUUCUCCAAGAUGGCCCACUUUAUUGCUUGCAUGAAGACAACAGAUGCAAUCAAGAUUGUCUAUGGUUUCAAUCCACGUGCUCCGGUUGAUUUGGUUCCUAUUCCUGAUCUGAAGCGAGCCAAUGGUAAAGCUGACGAGUUUAUAAGCGGUUUGCAGCAAAUUCGCAAGGACACUCAAUAGCGCUUGCAACGUACUACUGCAAAGUAUAAAGAGGCGGCGGACAAGAAGUGCAGGUUUGUGGAGUUUUGUGGUUGGUGAUUUGGUUUAUGCCAUUCUUACCAAAGACCGAUUUCCAAAGGGGGAGUAUAACAAGCUCAAGGCUCGUAAGAUUGGUCCUUUGGAGAUUCACGAGAAGAUCAAUCCGAAUGCCUACCGUUUGAAACUUUCCAGCCAUAUUCUUAUAACCGAUGUGUUCAAUGUCAAGCAUCUGGUUCCAUUCCAGGGUGAUAGUUCAUCUUAUGACGAUGCAAAUUUAGAGGCGAAUUUCUUUCUAGAUUGGGAGGAUGAUGUAGUUGCCAUGGAAGAGGAGUACCACUUCAGGCAUUUUAAAGCCUAGAGUGGCAAAAAUGUAAAUCUGCGACGAUGGAAUUACGAGUCGGGCCCACCUAUGUUCGAUCUGAAACAGGCCAACAGUCAGGACACAUCGCCUUUUGGCCAUGUGCCGGGUGUUUUUUAGCUGUCCGAGGCCGUUUAAGACUCCGAAAGGGCAAUUUUGUCGUUUUAGGAAAUAAUUGUUUUGUUUAUAACUUUUAGUAGGAAUUUUCAUUUCAAUUCGUUCUUUUUGGAGAAGUCUUAGUUUUUCCUCUGUUUUCUGAAUUUGUAAUAAUUUUGGUUUUUUCCGAAAUUGGUAUUUCUUUCGCUUUUCAAGGGUUAGGGUUUGUUACCUAUAUAAUAGUAAGUUGUAAGCCUUAAGGCUAAACAGUUUUUGAUUAUUAUUGAAUGAA